CAAGUCAAAAUUUAUUUCAUUGCCAAAUUAAGAGGUACAGGAUGCGUCGUUGGCUCUAACAUUGGUGAAGCUCCCCAUAAAUUCCGUCUAGGUGACAAGAACAUGGUAAAGGGAUUGAACAUUGGCAUUGAAGGUAUGCAUGUUGGUGAAAAGAGAAGACUAACUGUUCCACCAUCUUUGGGGUAUACACAAAUUCUUGCUGAAAAUGUACAUCUUUUAAACUUGUUCGUUGUGAUUCCAAUGCUUAAAAAGUUUGUGUUCAUGCCUUUUGUCGAUGCAACUUUACUCGUGGCUCCAGUAUGACAUUGAAUUGGUUGAUAUAUGUGAAUAAAUAGAGAUAAUAUACAGUUACUCGAGUCAGAAAACAUUCACCUUUGCUGAGGUAGUUAUGUGAAGGGUUGUCUUUGAACUGCAUUUUAGACAGUAAGCAAAGCAGUUCUCAGUUCUCACCUCCUGUGAUGAUAUUAGCUUUGAUAACUGAAGGUUUUGUUUUUGCCUCUGGCAAAUGUUUAUACCUGAGA